GGCCAUUUGUCACUGUCAUGAUAAUUCCUUUUUUUUUCCCACCUAUGUUCUUAGCUCUAACGUAUUAAUAUCCCUUAACCACGUCCUCCCUUUGUAAAGUGUGUGUGGUUGGUUCCCCUGGCCUUCCUCCUUGGUUUUGACAGAACUGAAUCAGGCAAGCUGCCGUUCUCGGUUGUUACCGAGCAAAUCUUCAAGGUUAGGUACAGCAGUUCGUCGUAUUUGCUUGGGUGUAUUUAAAUGACGCCACUCCUUCCACUUGUUUAAAUGGGGUUUCUCAAAGUUGAAACACUGCUUUGCAAGCCAAUGAUGUUUCCAAACAGAAUUACAAUUGCCUUUGCCCUAGUCUAGUAUUUUUCCAUGACCUAGAAUUAUAGAGGUAAAACACAAAUUAAUUUUUGCAAUAAGGUUACAAUUUCUCGAUUGUGAUUCAAGUGCUGAUUUCAGUGUUAUUUCUCUAUUCUUUCUGCCAGCCAGAGAAAAGAGUGACUGGGGAGAGUUGCCAGCAUUUACUUUCUGUAAUCACAGACCAGUUCACAAUUUACCUGCUGUUUAUAUAAAACCACAUUUGCUUCUGAGGUUUUCCACCCUUCAUAUGAACAUUAUUGAGAAUGAGUGAGAGAGUCCUGGCUUUUAAAGAAUGACGGAUUGCUAUGGCUAAUGCUUCUACAACUAUAUCGAAGAGAGUCUGAGCAGAAGUUGUAUGAACAUUUGGCCUUGGCGCUGUCCUCCGGAAAUUGCCAACAUGAAGAAAAGCGAGGGAAGGGCUGAAGGAAUCCCCACAAAAUGUAAACACUCCUCAAAGAUAAAAAUACAGCACAGAGAAAAGAAGAGUCUGAGAUAUUAGCACCAUAAACCAGGAGAUAAUAGACUGGGUCAGCAACAGAAUGGCGUGAUUCGAGUCCACAGAUCCUGUCCUUGGCCUUGUGAGUGAUCUCAGAAACAGCUACAUGAUUCAUAGGAGAAUAUAACUGAUAGGCUUAUUAAGUAGAAACAAGAUGAGAAGGAACUGUGGCCCAAAUGACCCAGG
rnacentral:lncRNA from 1 species